rnacentral:rRNA from 1 species
AGCGACUGUGCAGGUUACCGCGGCUGCUGGCACGGAGUUAGCCGGUGCUUCUUCUGUGAGUGAUGUCCUUCCUGCCGGCUAUUAACCCGCAGGCCUUCUUCCUCACUGAAAGUGCUUUACAACCCGAAGGCCUUCUUCACACACGCGGCAUGGCUGGAUCAGGGUUGCCCCCGAUUGUCCAAUAUUCCCCGACUGCUGCCUCCCGUAGGAGUCUGGGCCGUGUCUCAGUCCCAGUGUGGCUGAUCAUCCUCUCAGACCAGCUACGGAUCGUCGCCUUGGUGAGCCGUUACCUCACCAACCAGCUAAUCCGACAUAGGCUCAUCCGAUAGCGCGAGGCCCGAAGGU